CUUUUUUCUCCUUGUAUUUGCCUAGAUGCUCCAGUUACAAAUGAUAGAUCCAAAAUUGUCUUCUGGAAGAAACAUCACAAAACUUCAAAGGCCAAGAUUAUGCAAAACUGAAGUGCCAAUGGGUUUACAUGGUUCACUCCAGGUGGAAUGAAUCCCUUUACCAUCAUACUUCCAUGGUAAGUUUACCAGUCCCCUAGGUCUAUCAAAUGCCACUUCCUCUUUGAAGCCUUGCCCUCUUCCCUUCAGCUAAAAUUAACCUCUGCCUGGCUUAAUGGCUCAUUCCUGUAAUCCCAGCUUUUUGGGAGGCUGAGGUGGGAGGAUCGCGGGAGGCUGAGGUGGGAGGAUCGCGGGAGGCUGAGGUGGGAGGAUCGCUGGAGCCCAGGAGUUUGAGACCAAUCUGGACAACAUAGAACCUGUUUCAACAAAAAAUAAAAAAUUAGCCAGGCGUGGUGGCAUGCACCUGUAGUCCCAGCUACGAUAGGGAGGCUGAG
rnacentral:lncRNA from 10 species